CGACAAAUUCAACUGAAAUCAUCACAAACCAAAUACCACUGCUAACAAGCAACACAAAGUCUUAUACCCAAAUUCAAAAAACUUUCAACCAAACUUUCGGAAACAUGAAGUCCGCUUCAGUUGCCAUGAUCUCUGCGGUUGUCAUGUUUUUGUGCACGGUAUCGUUUACUACGGGGCAAACUGAUAGUCCUAUUCCGACGGGGGUAAACGGGACUGGCAACCCGGACGACGGGAUGUCGAUGAUGUCGAUGAUGACGAACGGGACCGAGUUGGAGGGGAUGGCGGGCUGCGGCUAUUGCGGGAACUAUUAUCCAUUUCAGUGCAGCUCCUUCUGUGGGCAGUUGGGGUGGUGGUGCUAUAGAUGCCUCCCUUGCUAUUGCGAAUGCUCGAACUACUGUUAACUUGAAGGAGUUUUGGUUUUUUACUGUUUUAAAAAGGUGAUGGUUAAUCUGGUUAGGGAAUUCUAGGGUUACAUUAACAAUGGGAAUAUAGGAUAUGCUACAAAACUUAUGCAAGUAUGUUGUCGUGUGUGAAUAAAUAAAUUUUAAUAAAUUUCAAAUUGUUGGAAUAAAGUAAAGUUCUUAACCA